CCUACGUGAGGCUGCAGUGGGGAAUAUUGCACAAUGGGGGAAACCCUGAUGCAGCGACGCCGCGUGAGUGAAGAAGUAUUUCGUUAUGUAAAGCCCUAUCAGCAGAGAAGAUAAUGACGGUAUCUGAGUAAGAAGCCCCGGCUAACUACGUGCCAGUAGCCGCGGUAAUACGUAGGGGGCAAGCGUUAUCCGGAUUUACUGGGUGUAAAGAGAGCGUAGACGGGAUAGCAAGUCUGGAGUGAAAGGCGGGGGCUCAACCCUCGGACUGCACUGGAAACUGUACGUCUGGAGUACAGGUGAGGUAGGUGGAAUUCGUGGUGUAGGGGUGAAAUGCUUAGAUAUCAAGAAGAACUCCGAUUGCGAAGGCAGCUUACUAAACCACCACUGACAUUGAUGCGCGAAAGUGUGGGGAGCAAACAGGAUUAGAUACCCGAGUAGUC
rnacentral:rRNA from 1 species